AGCGAACGCUGGCGGCAGGCCUAACACAUGCAAGUCGAACGGAUCCUUCGGGAUUAGUGGCGGACGGGUGAGUAACACAUGGGAACGUGCCCUUUGGUUCGGAACAACUCAGGGAAACUUGAGCUAAUACCGGAUGUGCCCUUCGGGGGAAAGAUUUAUCGCCAUUGGAGCGGCCCGCGUCUGAUUAGCUAGUUGGUGAGGUAAAGGCUCACCAAGGCGACGAUCAGUAGCUGGUCUGAGAGGAUGAUCAGCCACAUUGGGACUGAGACACGGCCCAAACUCCUACGGGAGGCAGCAGUGGGGAAUCUUGCGCAAUGGGCGAAAGCCUGACGCAGCCAUGCCGCGUGAAUGAUGAAGGUCUUAGGAUUGUAAAAUUCUUUCACCGGGGACGAUAAUGACGGUACCCGGAGAAGAAGCCCCGGCUAACUUCGUGCCAGCAGCCGCAGUAAAAC
rnacentral:rRNA from 1 species